CUCAGCUUUUGUCUUCAGAUCUUAAAGAAAAUAAAAAAAUAUGAAUUGCAACAACAACCGCUAAUUCAGGUUGCUCCUAGUUUCACUUGGAUUUGAAAAUACUCCAGCGGUGUGUGGUGUGUUGGUUUUCGAGUAUAAGGGAAUCGCAGUUUCCUGAAGCUGAAUGGAUUGUUUGUUUGGUGCAGUCUGUCUGCUAAUAAUAACCAUUUAGUGCAGUUCAAAACAAGGUGAUGCAAAGGGACACAAAAUAAACCAGACCUUGCUUUUGACCUUCAAGUGCUUGCUAAAAAUAACUAACCUUCAUUAACAUUUCUAUUUGAAAUUCCAUGGUGUUCUUUUUUUUCUUUCCUCUAUCAUUGGACUAGAUUGAUUUAGAUAAACUAAACAUCUGUAUGUUAUUUUUGUAUUUGUGGUUUUGCAAACCAAGCACUGUGUUUAGCUAUAGUAUAUUCCAUGAAAUAAUCUUUCAUUCAAAUUUGCAUCCCAAUUAUCUAAUAAAUGUCCUAGGUUUCACUGCAGAUUUAUAUCCGUUUGUUACCCUCCAGUGACGCCUGAUUCUUUUUUACUGUGCGUGCUUCCCCCUUGCCAUAUGAGAAAACAAAGGCAAAAGUUUUCCAUUGCUGGGUAAAAAUCCUGGCAAUAAAUCCUGUGACUCCAAAGGUUACACUGCAGUAGUACCCUGCACUGUUGCUAUUGGUAACCGGCCUCUCACAAAACACCAUUUAUUCAGGAAUGCAAGGAUACAAGAGCAGUGGAAAAGGCAAUGGAAUGUUAACUCCUUCUUUACCAGAUGCUUUUAGACCUGCAAUUGAAGUUUCCUUUCAUUGCUGUGUGUAUAUCACCAGAAUCUGACUUCCAGGAGGUCCAUAUGACAAGAAGUCACUGCAAGGAUGGCCACAAAAAUAGCCUACAUCAUCAUAUACUUGGACUUCCAAAAAGCCUUUGACAAAGUGCUGCAUGAAAAGCUAAUCCGAAAGCUGCAAUCUCUGGGAAUACAAGGAAGUACAUGCAAGUGGAUACAAAACUGGUUAAAAGCGAGAGUACUUCUAAGAGGGGAAACCUAGCUGGGGCUGUACGCUGUGGGGAGCCCCAGGUCUCUGUGCUUAUCUCAUCACGUGUCCCUCUAUUAAUGGGUAUACAUUUUUGUUUUAGUUUAAUAACUGAAAUAUUAGUUAGAGCAUAAGAACGGGUUAGUGACAUUUUUGUGGAUUUUUGACAUAGUGUUCGUUCUAUUUUAAGAACGUUUUUUUUUUAUUUAGUUAUUUUUCUUUACUGUUAUGAAGCUGCUUUUUAAAAAUAAGUUCAGUAGUAGGUCCAGAGAGAGAGAGAGAGAGAGAGAGAGAGAGAGAGAGAGAGAAAGAGAGAGACCUCAAGGCUUGACUGACUAUUGGUUGCUGAUACAAAGGCAGAAGCUUUGUAGUGUGAAGUCUGAAUCAUUUUCUCAAAAUCUGUGAAACCUGACGUUUGUUUAAGUACUUAUAUCUGUUUAGAUAAACUUCUAAGAGGCAGCUUAUAUCUGAAUUGAACAAUUACAAAACAAACUGCUAACUUCAUAAUCUGUGAAGGUGGUAAUUGUCAACGUACUGGUGCUUCAUUUUGAUGUAUUACCACUGCUACAAGCCUUCUGCUUGUUAAAAAUAAGAGUCACGAUGUCUUUGCAGGCUGCAUGUUAGAACACCAAGAUGAUGGGUGAAUUGUAUGUUGUCAUUGGUUUCCAACUGUCAGCAUAAAUUAUAGGGAAGAAUGAGCAUAGUAAACACAUUUUAUGCCCUUAUGUAUAUUUAUGACACCUCUGGGCCAGUAAUACAUUGAAAUGGAUUUUCUGCACACUGUCCUAAACUAGUUUUGUGCGAUAAUGAUUUUUUUUUUUUUUUCAUCAAUAACCAGCUCAAUAAUUAAUAGAAAUAUCACCUUGUUUAAUUAUGAAAUGUGUUGUUCAUCAAAUAAUGUCUUAGAAAGUGUGUGUAGACAUUGCUUUUAGAAUGCUUUCAUUAUUCAUAUACAGGUAUUCUAAUAAUUUAGAAAUUAAAGCAACUGAGCAGCAAGUUUAAGUACUGACACCUAGAGGAUAACCGAUGCUGUUUAGGGUCAUUUACCUUUCAGGUUGAAUCAAUAAAACAGUAGUUUGAACUUGUGUUGCAAAAAAAAGCAUUUUCUUAAUAGACUCUCCACAUAAUGAUAAUAAUGUGUCAAAUUAACUGCAAGUCUGAAUUUUAAAGAAUCCUAGUGAAUAUCAAAUAAAGUAAGAAAUAAUUGACUCUGUUAUACUUACCAUGGCAAUCUUUAAUUAAGUGCUGAAACUCAUUUUA